rnacentral:rRNA from 1 species
CAGCUAGCUGGUGGAGUAACGGUUCACCAGGGCGACGAUCGGUAGCUGGUCUGAGAGGACGAUCAGCCACACUGGGAUUGAGAACGGCCCAGACUCCUACGGGGGGCAGCAGUGAGGAAUUUUCGUCAAUGGGGGCAACCCUGAACGAGCAACGCCGCGUGCAGGAAGAAGGUUUUCGGAUCGUAAACUGCUUUUCUCGGGGAAGAGAACGGACGGUACCCGAGGAAUCAGCCCCGGCUAACUACGUGCCAGCAGCCGCGGUAAUACGUAGGGGGCAAGCGUUGUCCGGAGUUACUGGGCGUAAAGCGCACGCAGGCGGUUCUCUCAGUUCCUGGUGACAGUCGUCGGCUUCACUGACGAAGGAGUGGGAAGACGGGAGAACUUGAGGGCUUCAGAGGGACACGGAAUUCCGGGUGGAGUGGUGAAAUGCGUAGAUAUCCGGAGGAACACCAACAGCGAAGGCAGUGUCCUGGGAAGCUCCUGACGCUCAGGUGCGAAAGCCAGGGGAGCGAACGGGAUUAGAUACCCCGGUAGUCCUGGCCGUAAACGAUGACCACUA